GUGAAUCAUCGAAUUUUUGAACGCAAAUUGCACUCUCUGGUAUUCCGGAGAGUAUGCCUGUUUGAGGUUCAGUUUAAAUCAAAAUCGGUGUGGUUGCUGCCUUUCGUGGUAACGCACCGGAUUUGGGUCGGCUUGCCUUGGGUUAAGUGGCCUAAAGUUUUGCAGGAUUUUUUGCGAACGUAUUUAUAGGAUUUUGCGUACGUUUGAGAUAGA
rnacentral:misc_RNA from 1 species